CUUCCGGUUGAUCCCGCCGGACCCGACUGCUAUCAGAGUGGGACUAAGCCAUGCGAGUCAACAUAGCAAUAUGUGGCAUACGGCUCAGUAACACGUAGUCAACAUGCCCAGGGGACGUGGAUAACCUCGGGAAACUGAGGAUAAACCGCGAUAGGUCAUCACUUCUGGAAUGGGUAAUGACUUAAAUCUAUAUGGCCCCUGGAUUGGACUGCGGCCGAUCAGGCUGUUGGUGAGGUAAUGGCCCACCAAACCUGUAACCGGUACGGGCUCUGAGAGGAGGAGCCCGGAGAUGGGCACUGAGACAAGGGCCCAGGCCCUAUGGGGCGCAGCAGGCGCGAAACCUCUGCAAUAGGCGAAAGCUUGACAGGGUUACUCUGAGUGAUUUCCGUUAAGGAGAUCUUUUGGCACCUCUAAAAAUGGUGCAGAAUAAGGGGUGGGCAAGUCUGGUGUCAGCCGCCGCGGUAAUACCAGCACCCCGAGUGGUCGGGACGUUUAUUGGGCCUAAAGCAUCCGUAGCCGGUUCUACAAGUCUUCCGUUAAAUCCACCUGCUUAACAGAUGGGCUGCGGAAGAUACUAUAGAGCUAGGAGGCGGGAGAGGCAAGCGGUACUCGAUGGGUAGGGGUAAAAUCCGUUGAUCCAUUGAAGACCACCAGUGGCGAAGGCGGCUUGCCAGAACGCGCUCGACGGUGAGGGAUGAAAGCUGGGGGAGCAAACCGGAUUAGAUACCCGGGUAGUCCCAGCUGUAAACGAUGCAGACUCGGUGAUGAGUUGGCUUAUUGCUAACUCAGUGCCGCAGGGAAGCCGUUAAGUUUGCCGCCUGGGGAGUACGGUCGCAAGACUGAAACUUAAAGGAAUGGCGGGGGAGCA
rnacentral:rRNA from 1 species